rnacentral:rRNA from 1 species
GGGCGCAGGCGGCCGGUCCGUCGCAAGGCGUGUACUGGCCGUCCUGGCCUCACCUCCGGUUCUCCGCCGGUGCCCUUGACUGAGUGUCGGCGGCGGCCGGAACGUUUACUUUGAAAAAAUUAGAGUGUUCAAAGCAGGCGAUUCGCCUGAAUAAUGGUGCAUGGAAUAAUGGAAUAGGACCUCGGUUCUAUUUUGUUGGUUUUCGGAGCGCGAGGUAAUGAUUAAGAGGGACAGACGGGGGCAUUCGUACUGUGCCGUUAGAGGUGAAAUUCUUGGAUCGGCGCAAGACGAACGACUGCGAAAGCAUUUGCCAAGAAUGUUUUCUUUAAUCAAGAGCGAAAGUCAGAGGUUCGAAGACGAUCAGAUACCGUCCUAGUUCUGACUAUAAACGAUGCCAACUAGCGAUCGGGGGGCGUUAGUUUUACGACCUCUCCGGCAGCUUGCGGGAAACCAAAGUCUUUGGGUUCCGGGGGAAGUAUGGUUGCAAAGCUGAAACUUAAAGGAAUUGACGGAAGGGCACCACCAGGAGUGGAGCCUGCGGCUUAAUUUGACUCAACACGGGAAAUCUCACCCGGCCCGGACACAGUGAGGAUUGACAGAUUGAGAGCUCUUUCUUGAUUCUGUGGGUGGUGGUGCAUGGCCGUUCUUAGUUGGUGGAGCGAUUUGUCUGGUUAAUUCCGAUAACGAACGAGACUCUGGCUUGCUAACUAGUUACGCGACCCAAUCGGUCGGCGUCUAACUUCUUAGAGGGACUAGUGGCGUUUAGCCACACGAGAUUGAGCAAUAACAGGUCUGUGAUGCCCUUAGAUGUUCGGGGCCGCACGCGCGCUACACUGACCGGAUCAGCAUGUGCUCGCCUUGGCCGACAGGUCUGGGUAACCCGCUGAACCCCGGUCGUGCUAGGGAUAGGGGAAUUGCAAUUAUUUCCCUUGAACGAG